CACGGGGGGAGCAAGCGUUGUUCGGAUUCAUUGGGCGUAAAGGGCUCGUAGGGGGCUUUGUAAGUCGGAGGUGAAAUCCCACGGCUCAACCGUGGACACGCCUUCGAAACUGUGAAGCUUGAGGCUGGGAGAGGAGAUCGGAAUUCCUGGUGUAGCGGUGGAAUGCGCAGAUAUCAGGAGGAACACCGAUGGCGAAGGCAGGUCUCUGGGCAGUUACUGACGCUGAGGAGCGAAAGCAUGGGGAGCGAACAGG
rnacentral:rRNA from 1 species